rnacentral:rRNA from 1 species
GAAGUAAAAGUCGUAACAAGGUUUCCGUAGGUGAACCUGCGGAAGGAUCAUUACCGAACUGUCGACACGAGUUGUUGCUGGUCCUCAAACGGGGGCAUGUGCACGCUCUGUUUACACAUCCACUCACACCUGUGCACGCUCUGUAGUUCUAUGGCCUGGGGGACUCUGUCACCCUUGCUGUGGUCCUACGUCUUUACACACACACCGUAACAAAGUCUCAUGGAAUGUACAUCGCGUUUAACGCAAUACAAUACAACUUUCAGCAACGGAUCUCUUGGCUCUCGCAUCGAUGAAGAACGCAGCGAAAUGCGAUAAGUAAUGUGAAUUGCAGAAUUCAGUGAAUCAUCGAAUCUUUGAACGCACCUUGCGCCCUUUGGCUAUUCCGAAGGGCAUGCCUGUUUGAGUAUCAUGAACACCUCAACUCUCAUGGUUUGCCGUGAUGAGCUUGGACUUUGGGGGUCUUGCUGGCCUAUGGUCAGCUCCUCUCAAAUGGAUCAGCUUGCCAGUGUUUGGUGGCAUCACAGGUGUGAUAACUAUCUACGCUUGUGGUUUUCCACCAGGUAACCUUCAGCAAUGGAGGUUCGCUGGAGCUCACAAAUGUCUCUCCUCAGCGAGGACAGCUUUUUGAACGUUUGAUCUCAAAUCAGGUAGGACUACCCGCUGAACUUAAGCAUA